GAGUGUAUAGAAGUGAGAAUGCCGGAAUGAGUAGCGCGAAUGCAGUGAGAAUCUGCAUGGCCGAAAGCCUCAGGUUUCUGGAGGAAGGUUCGUCCGCUCCAGGUUAGUCGGGAGCUAAGGUGAGGCCUAACGGCGUAGCCGAUGCACAGACGGUAGAGAUUCCGUCACCACCAAAAGAGUUAAACACAGGGACACAUUUGAAGUCUCGGAGCCGGGUGUUGGUUCCGGUAGCGAUCGAGGGAAAUUAGUACCGAAGUCCGGGAUGGAAGAUGGCGAGAAAAGCUGUGUGUAUUUCUGCGGUGCCCGUACCGCAAACCGACACAGGUAGGUAGGAAGAAGAUUCUAAGGCCAACGGGAGAAGGGUUGUUAAGGAACUCGGCAAAUUGACCCCGUAACUUCGGGAGAAGGGGUGCUCUAGAGAUAGAGCCGCAGAGAAUCGGCCCAAGCAACUGUUUACCAAAAACACAGGUUUGUGCUAAAUCGAAAGAUGACGUAUACGAGCUGACGCCUGCCCGGUGCUGGAAGGUUAAGAGGAGAUGUGCAAGCAUUGAAUCGAAGCCCCAGUGAACGGCGGCCGUAACUAUAACGGUCCUAAGGUAGCGAAAUUCCUUGUCAGGUAAGUUCUGACCCGCAUGAAAGGCGUAAUGAUUUGGGCACUGUCUCGACAGCCCGCCCGGCGAAAUUGUAGUACCGGUGAAGAUGCCGGUUACCCGCGACAAGACGGAAAGACCCCAUGGAGCUUUACUGUAGCCUAAUAUUGGGUUUCGAUGUUGCAUGCACAGGAUAGAUGGGACACAGGGAAACAAGUGCUUUGGCAUUUGUGGAGUGGCCGUUGGGAUACCAUCCUUGCGAUAUUGGAAUUCUAACCUGCGCCUUUGAAUCAAGGCGGGGGACAUUGUUAGGUGGGCAGUUUGACUGGGGCGGUCGCCUCCUAAAGAGUAACGGAGGCGUUCAAAGGUUCGCUCAGCUUGAACGGAAAUCAAGCAAAAGAGUGCAAACGCAGAAGCGAGCCUAACUGCGAGACUGACGGGUCGAGCAGUAACGAAAGUUGGAGUUAGUGAUCCGGUGGUAUGUGAGUGGAAAUGCCAUCGCUCAACGGAUAAAAGUUACCCUGGGGAUAACAGGCUGAUCUCCCCCAAGAGUCCACAUCGACGGGGAGGUUUGGCACCUCGAUGUCGGCUCAUCGCAUCCUGGGGCUGUAUUCGGUCCCAAGGGUUUGGCUGUUCGCCAAUUAAAGCGGUACGCGAGCUGGGUUCAGAACGUCGUGAGACAGUUCGGUCCCUAUCUGUCGUGGGCGCAGGAUAUUUGAUGGGAGCUGUUCCUAGUACGAGAGGACCGGAGCGGACGUACCUCUGGCGCACCAGUUGUUCUGCCAAGGGCAUAGCUGGGCAACUAUGUACGGAUCGGAUAAACGCUGAAAGCAUCUAAGCGUGAAGCCGACCCAAAGAUAAGAUAUCCCAUUGUUUCAAACAAGUAAGACCCCUUGAAGACUACAAGGUUGAUAGGCACGAUGUGUAAGUGGAGUGAUCCAUUCAGCAAGCGUGUACUAAUAGGUCGAGGGCUUGACCA
rnacentral:rRNA from 1 species